UUUACUCACGAUGAAGUGGAAAUUCGGUACAUAUACCUUCGCAACUAGUGGGGCAUUUUUGUUCGUUAUUUGGUGUGUUACUCUUGGCUGCAAAUAAUGACGAAAGAACGGGUAUCGUUGUCUAAGCUGUCAAGAACGGCGUUCCUUUUCUUGAGCGUAUUGACCUGUUGUUUAAUUGUUUUAGGCUCCACCAGACAUUUGUUGAUCAGUUACCAUGACAAACGCGAGUUACUCAAUGUAAAUUUAAUAUUAUUGAUAAAUAGUUUUGCUAUCGAUAAUAACAACGAUACAAUUGUUCCUUACUAAUGUUUUAUUGCACCUUUACGCGAUGCAUUCCGUUUCUACCGCUGUUCCACUCUCGUCUGUCCCAUACGUGCAUCGAAACGUGCGCCUAUUGCCCAAAACCCUCUUAUCAUGUUUGGCGUGACGAGUUCCGCCGCGGCUGGAUGCACGCGGCUAGGGCCAAGUAGGAGCUUUAUCAGGUACCGAAUGAGGAAGGAGAGUGAGACAGAGAGCAAAAAACCAAAUACUUUACACAUUAAUCGGCGUGCUUAACACGAGAGAGAGAAAGAGAGUAAUCACAUUAUACGCGGCUCCGUGUUCUAAUCUAAUCAUGUCCGACGGGGGAAUGCUAUAUUUGUUUACACCGUACUGUACCUUUGUUCGAUUCGCCAGUUCUGUUCUCUCGCAGGCGCCAGACGCUACCGAACUGGCUGGCAUCCGGAAUCGCCCGCAAUCAGAAAGCCGUUCCUCAAACCCCAACCCACUCCGACGACACAUUGCACGCGAGCAAGGAUACGAUGGAACGUCACACACUGUACCCUGAGGGCAGCUCGCUUGUGGCCACUGCCAAGCAGCGUGCCGAAUCGUUCGAUUUGCUCGACGAGCUGGAACUGUUGCUGCACCGGAAAGGACAUUGGCCGGUGUUCCUCGUGACCUUGAUUGCGCUGGCAUUGUGUUUCCUCGUGGUCGGUUUACUGAUGGCCACCGGGAUCAUGUUGGUGACGUUCCUGCUGUUCAUCUUCAACCACGAACCGCCAAACGAGACAACCAGUUCCCUAAAUUGGCGGGGGGAUUUUUAAAAUGUACCGCUCAUUGUUGCAAUACAAUAAAUCUGCUAAAACCUA